rnacentral:rRNA from 1 species
AACGCUGGCGGCGUGCCUAACACAUGCAAGUCGAACGAGGUCCAGGAAGCUUGCUUCCUGAAGACCUAGUGGCGAACGGGUGAGUAACACGUGAGAAACCUGCCUCGGAGUGGGGACUAACUCGGGGAAACUCGAGCUAAUACCGCAUACCUUCACAUGAUCGCAUGGUCGAGUGAAGAAAGAAUUUCGCUCUGAGAGGGUCUCGCGGCCUAUCAGCUUGUUGGUGGGGUAACGGCCUACCAAGGCAACGACGGGGUAGCUGGUUUGAGAGAACGAUCAGCCACACUGGGACUGAGACACGGCCCAGACUCCUACGGGAGGCAGCAGUGGGGAAUCUUGCGCAAUGGGCGAAAGCCUGACGCAGCAACGCCGCGUGCGGGAUGACGGCCUUCGUGGUUGUAAACCGCUUUCAGCAGGGACGAAAAUGACGGUACCUGCAGAAGAAGCCCCGGCUAACUACGUG